rnacentral:SRP_RNA from 1 species
GCCGGGUGUGGUGGUUCGCGCCUGUAAUCCCAGCUACUCAGGAGGCUGAGGCAGGAGAAUCACUUGAACCCAGGAGGCGGAGGUUGCAGUGAGCCAAGACUGCGUCACUGCACUCCGGCCUGGGUGACAAAGCGAGACUCUGUCUCAA